AUUGAACGCUGGCGGCGUGCCUAAUACAUGCAAGUCGAGCGAAUGGAUUAAGAGCUUGCUCUUAUGAAGUUAGCGGCGGACGGGUGAGUAACACAUGGGUAACCUGCCCAUAAGACUGGGAUAACUCCGGGAAACCGGGGCUAAUACCGGAUAACAUUUUGAACCGCAUGGUUCGAAAUUGAAAGGCGGCUUCGGCUGUCACUUAUGGAUGGACCCGCGUCGCAUUAGCUAGUUGGUGAGGUAACGGCUCACCAAGGCAACGAUGCGUAGCCGACCUGAGAGGGUGAUCGGCCACACUGGGACUGAGACACGGCCCAGACUCCUACGGGAGGCAGCAGUAGGGAAUCUUCCGCAAUGGACGAAAGUCUGACGGAGCAACGCCGCGUGAGUGAUGAAGGCUUUCGGGUCGUAAAACUCUGUUGUUAGGGAAGAACAAGUGCUAGUUGAAUAAGCUGGCACCUUGACGGUACCUAACCAGAAAGCCACGGCUAACUACGUGCCAGCCGCCGCGGUAA
rnacentral:rRNA from 1 species